GAACCAUCUUAAAUACACAGACAGAAAUAUGAUCAAGUUAAGCAUAGUAAGAAGAUCCAAAUAUUUCCACUCCUGCUGCUGCUACAUCUGUAGCUAGCAAUUGUUUGGUUUUUAGUAGCUGAUAACCUUCUAGAGGAACUGAUUCAGGAUGCUUCACUAUUGUAGCUUCGCUACACACUACACACUAAACACUAAACACUAUACUCUAUACAAUACACACCUUUUGAGGAGAACUCAUGCAAGGAGCUGACUAAAAGGGCAACCAGAAAAUAUAGUCAGUGACAGACACAGAUGAACCUCCUGGCAGCUUUUUUUGCCCUGACGAGUGGAAAUCAGAUCUGUCGACAUCUAUUUUUAAUAGGUACAGGACCACGAAGGACUCGCUGCAAAGUUUUUAUAUGUUUCCAUUUACCGAUAUUUAAUAUUCUCUGUAUCAAACUUGGGGAUGAGGUAAACUUCUGCAAUGUGUGGAGACAAGCAGCGUAUGUAGACAACAAGUACUUGUAGGAGCUGGCCGCUUCUCCAAAGGCAGCGGCCCCAAUUAACGUGCUUUGUGUUAAGCUAGGAAGCAGCUGGCCUGGGUUUCAUGAAAGUUCCCACAACAAAGCUGCAAUGGAAGGGGCAAGCAGAGACAUACACGCAGGCUGAGCACCCUUUAUCGAGAUCACGGCACACUCUGUUCCCAGGACAGGCCUGUCCAGAAACCAACCUUGGCAGCUGCUGUGUCAAGUGUCACGGGAGGAAUAGUGCACACCAUGUAACCCAAUCAGGGGCUGAAAUAAACUGCAUAAUGCAGAGGAACUCACAUGUGUUGCUGUUAAUCUACCUCAUGUACAAAAACUGACCUGCAAAAUUGCCAAAUAGAUGCCAAGGAGCCUUUUCUGCCCCUUUUAUUUAGUAAAGGGCCUGGAUGCCCCUGGAGUCGUGCUGCUGUUGCUGCAAUGGGGAGAUAGCCCUUGGCUGGUUGGAAGCAUCAGCUAACAGACUAAAGGGUUGGCCAAAUCCUCCCUUUUCAGCUAUCCAGCAGGGCAAUGGAGAGGAAUUCCCUUUCCACACCAAGUGGGAAUCUCCUUGCUGCAGCACGAGUGAUCAGGUGGCAGAGACAGCAUCAGUCCCCCUGCACCACCCUUCCAGCUCUGAGGGCAACAAGCCAGGCAGGAGCCAAAGUUCUGCUUUGAUUUAUGUCCAGCCAAGCACAUUAGGCUCAAGAUUUAGGCCUGGAGGAGUCUGAACCAAGAUGCUGGCAGAGGAGGACCUCGCCAACCUCACCAUGAGAGGAGCAGCUGAAUAACCCAGGCAGGUUUUGGCAGCACCAGCCAAAGAGAGGGAGGGGGCAGGACAUCCUUUAGCAGCAACCUGGGAGGACCGUAACCUCAUUAACCAUUAGCAUUGCACCAACCGAACCACAAACAAGCACUCCCUGUACACCCACGCCGAUGAGGUAAAGAAGCCUCCCACCCCAGCACUGCCACUGCUCAACAGAUGUGAUCCCAUCUCCAAAAUUUAAAAAGAGCCUUUCAGUCCUCAUAACUUGUCAGAAGAAAGACCCCUUGCAGGCAAGGUAGGUGUUUGUUUUAGCUAGAGUGCUUCCCCUCAGUUUUGGCCGAUAUAGACGGGGCCGCAGUGGUGACUGGCACCUGCAGGGAUUUUCUGCCCUGGAAGAAGGGAAAAGGUUGUUUUCAUGGAGUGAAUCCCACAUCCCAGACUGAUCUUGUCAGUAACUUGUUGAAUGGCUGUAGGGAGUCAGCUAGAUCUUAGAACCAUUUUUUUUUUU
rnacentral:lncRNA from 1 species